rnacentral:rRNA from 1 species
GGCGGUUCGGCAUUUAUUGUCGAAACUGUCUAAAUGGUUGAGAAAUGCUUGUGUUGUUGUUACCGCUUCGGCGGUAGCUCGAUGCGGCAUCGAGGUUGGUUGAACGUUUGCUGGUUGUAUAAUGGUUAAAUAUAAAUAACCAAAGUUUAACAUGAUUGGCACCCAUGUUAAACAGAGUACAUUGCUGCUGAGACGGCAAGUGUACAACGUAUUGUUUAAGAGUUGCGAAGUGUGGUCGUCGAACCGAGUAAAUGGGGCGAAAGUAUAUAAUAUACACACAGUGUGCGGUGUAUCACUCGGGUCGUCGAUCGAUGAAGAACGUUGCAAAAUGCGAUAAUUUCCGUGAAAUGCAGAUCUAUUUGAACGGAUAGACUUUGAACGCAAAUGGCGGCAGCGAAUACACUAUUUGUUGCCACAUCCGUCUGAGGAUCGUCAAAAGCUCAAAAAAAUCAACAGCUACACUGACCUAGUCAGCCGAUGGUUGUUGAGUAUUAGGCCACUGCCUGCUUCAUGCAGAGUUGUAGGCCGAGUUAUUGAGACCUUGUUCCGCGGGAGCAAGCGUGCUAUGAAUGUGUCGGUCCGGCUCAACCACAUGCGUGUUGUCUGUUGGACAACGUACUUGCUUUGUGAAGGAAAGAUCAGAGACUGCUGAUGUAAUAUUAAUAGACAAAGAGUACGUUGUUCA